rnacentral:lncRNA from 1 species
AACCUACUUGGAACCAACAAGAACAUCCCACAAGGCAUCUCUGCUCCAAAUCAAAGAUCAAAUGCAUCCAUGCGGUGAGUUCGCAUUGGUUUGAUCCAAGUGGAACAUUUCCAUACCUACACCCCCAUUAGCAUAACAAUCCUUUAUUAAACCACUAGCUAGACGUGCAAGAUUCAACCUACACACAAGAACCCACUAGAUAGACUUCCACUGGAACCAUGCAGCAUUCUCCCGUGAUGACCUCAUUACUCAGUCUUUUCUACUGGGGUUUCUGUUUCAACCUUCUCCUCUGUUUCAACAGGCUUCUGUUCUUCCUUUACUUCUUCUUCCUUUGGGGCUUCGACUGCAACCUCCGUUUCUUCUGCCGGUGCCUCACCAGGCUCUGUAGUCUCUUUAGCCUCCUCGACAACAGGCUCUACGGGUACUUCCGGCUCCUCUUUUGUCUCCUCAGCAACCGGCUCUGGUGUUUCCUUAGGUGUCUCCUCCUCAGUUUUCUCUAGUACUGUUGGCUCUUCUGCAGCGAUCUUGUUCUCUUCGAGCACCUCUUUAGUUUCAGCUUCAGCUGGGGCCUCGGGCUCUGGUGCCACGGGCUCCUCAGAUGCUGCAACUUUCUCUGCUUCUUUUGGCUCUUCAUGAGUUACUGCCUCUGGUGCUGCAGUGACCGCUUCUUCUGUG